rnacentral:rRNA from 1 species
AACGAACGCUGGCGGCAGGCUUAACACAUGCAAGUCGAACGCCCCGCAAGGGGAGUGGCAGACGGGUGAGUAACGCGUGGGAACAUACCCUCUCCUGCGGAAUAGCUCCGGGAAACUGGAAUUAAUACCGCAUACGCCCUACGGGGGAAAGAUUUAUCGGGGAAGGAUUGGCCCGCGUUGGAUUAGCUAGUUGGUGGGGUAAAGGCCUACCAAGGCGACGAUCCAUAGCUGGUCUGAGAGGAUGAUCAGGCACAUUGGGACUGAGACACGGCCCAAACUCCUACGGGAGGCAGCAGUGUGGAAUAUUGGACAAUGGGCGCAAGCCUGAUCCAGCCAUGCCGCGUGAGUGAUGAAGGCCUUAGGGUUGUAAAGCUCUUUCACCGAUGAAGAUAAUGACGGUAGUCGGAGAAGAAGCCCCGGCUAACUUCGUGCCAGCCGCCGCCGUAA